UCUGAUGCAGCAACGCCGCGUGGAGGAUGACGCAUUUCGGUGUGUAAACUCCUUUUAUAAGGGAAGAUAAUGACGGUACCUUAUGAAUAAGCACCGGCUAACUCCGUGCCAGCAGCCGCGGUAAUACGGAGGGUGCAAGCGUUACUCGGAAUCACUGGGCGUAAAGGAUGCGUAGGCUGGAAAUCAAGUCGAGAGUGAAAUCCAACGGCUCAACCGUUGAACUGCUCUCGAAACUGGUUACCUAGAAUAUGGGAGAGGUAGAUGGAAUUGGUGGUGUAGGGGUAAAAUCCGUAGAUAUCACCAGGAAUACCGAUUGCGAAGGCGAUCUACUGGAACAUUAUUGACGCUGAGGCAUGAAAGCGUGGGGAGCAAACAGGAUUAGAUACCCUGGUAGUCCACGCCCUAAACGAUGCACACUAGUUGUUGCGAUGCUAGUCAUUGCAGUAAUGCACUUAACAGAUUAAGUGUGCCGCCUGGGGAGUACGGUCGCAAGAUUAAAACUCAAAGGAAUAGACGGGGACCCGCACAAGCGGUGGAGCAUGUGGUUUAAUUCGAAGAUACACGAAGAACCUUACCUGGCCUUGAUAUCCUAAGAAUCCUUUAGAGAUAAGGGAGUGCUAGUUUACUAGAACUUAGAGACAGGUGCUGCACGGCUGUCGUCAGCUCGUGUCGUGAGAUGUUGGGUUAAGUCCCGCAACGAGCGCAACCCUCGUGAUUAGUUGCUAACAGUUCGGCUGAGCACUCUAAUCAGACUGCCUUCGCAAGGAGGAGGAAGGUGAGGACGACGUCGAGUCAUCAUGGCCCUUAUGGCCAGGGCUACACACGUGCUACAAUGGCUAGGACAAAGAGACGCGAUACUGCGAAGUGGAGCAAAUCUUAAAACCUAGUCUCAGUUCGGAUUGGAGUCUGCAACUCGACUCCAUGAAGCUGGAAUCGCUAGUAAUCGUAGAUCAGAUAUGCUACGGUGAAUACGUUCCCGGGUCUUGUACUCACCGCCCGUCACACCCA
rnacentral:rRNA from 1 species